rnacentral:tRNA from 1 species
GUAGCUCAGCAAGUUGGAGUGUUGGAUUCUGAUUCCAAAGGUCACAGGUUCGAAUCCUGUCGGGUGCGCCA